GAGACAAGCAUAUGACUACUGGCAGGAUCAACCAGGUAGCGUUCCUUCGCGACGCCGACGCCCGCACGACGCCCCACGGGCUCGAGACGGGCGCGGCAGUCGUUCGCUUUGCUAUGCGUCGAGGGACAAAUCGCGUUGCUCGAGCGAGCGGAGCCUGUUGUGACAGACCCCGCGCCCGCGCACGACGUUCCGUAUCCGAGAGAACGGGCAUAGCGCACCGUGGGCCGAGGCAGCCAAAGCGACUGGGCGAGGCUUGCCGGGAACACGGGGCGUGCCUAACGUCCACCCCGCAACCCGCGAGGGCUGGGGGCGGAGAGGGACGAACGAGACCGACGGAUUCCUUUCGAUAGGUAAGCAACACAGGAUACCGAA
rnacentral:misc_RNA from 1 species